rnacentral:rRNA from 1 species
UACAGAGGUCUCAAGCGUUGUUCGGAUUCAUUGGGCGUAAAGGGUGCGUAGGCGGCGCGGUAAGUCGGGUGUGAAAUCUCGGAGCUUAACUCCGAAACUGCAUUCGAUACUGCCGUGCUUGAGGACUGGAGAGGAGACCGGAAUUUACGGUGUAGCGGUGAAAUGCGUAGAUAUCAAGAGGAACACCUGCGGCGAAGGCGGGUUGCUGGGCCGACACUGACGCUGAGGCGCGAAAGCGUGGGGAGCGAACAGG